rnacentral:lncRNA from 1 species
CUUUUUCUUUUCUUUUUCUUUUUUUUUUUUUUUGGUCAAGAUUCAUUUGUAUAUGAGGUCCCUUCUGAAAAUGAACUUGCUUGAUCAUCUCUUUUGAUCCCAUAUAGAUAUACAUUGAGAAUACUUUCUUAGGCAAAGUGAAAAGAUUUGGGCAAGUAUCUCCUAGCCUCAGUCAGAAGAAACCAUCAGUAUGAAGACCACAGCGCCCCUCCUGCUCAUCUUUCACAUGGUUCUUAAGGUCUGGUACUCUCUCCAAAACAGAGCACAGAAUGCCUCCUUAGAGAAAGGUUCUUAGGAAUCGGCUUUGAGAAAAAAGAAGAAACAGCCCCAUUCCCAAAGAAAUCUAGGCUUUCCUUGGGAAAAUCAGGAUUCAGGUCUUAAAUACAGUGUUUAAAACUCUCCAUUUUCUCUUUUUUUCUUUGGCUUGACUUUAAUGGGAAUCCUUGAGUGGGAAAGUGAUAAAACUGUGCCUUUAUUGCACCAAAAUUAACUUUCUUUCUUUUUUUUUUUUUUUUUUUUUUGUCUUUUUAGGGAUACACCCAGAACAUAUGGAGGUUCCCAGGGUUUCUGUUAGGUGCCUCCUAUAAGUUACUAUGUUUUAUUCUUUUGGAAGCCCAUUGUGAGUUGAAUUGAAUUCCCCCCAAGAGAUACACCGGAGUCCUGGCUGCCAGGACCUCAGAGUAGGACCUUAUUUGGAGACAGGUCUUUGCAGGAGUAAUUAGGUUACAGUGAGAUCUUAGGUGGGACCCUAGUCCAAUAUGACGGGUAUCCUUAUAAAAAGAGGAAAUUUGGACACAGAGACACACAUCUAGGAAAAACACCAUGUGGACAGACUGCCAUCUACAACCUGAGGAGAGACCUGUGCAAAUUCUCCCUCCAACCUCAGAAGGGACCAGCCCUGACAAUACCUUGAUCCCAAACCUCCAUCCUCCAGACUGUGAGACAACACACUGCUGUUGUUUAAGGCACCCAGUUUGUGGUACUUGGUUAUGGUGGCCAAGGGGAGUGGGGGAGGGAUGGACUGGGAGUUUGGGAUUAGCAGAUGUAAACUAGUAUAUACAGAAUGGGCAAACAAGGUCCUAUGUAAAGCACAAGGAAUUAUAUUCAGUGUUCUACGAUAAGCCAUAAUGGAAAAGAAUAUGAAAAAGAAGGUAAAUACGUAUAAGUGAAUCACUGUGGAGCAGAAAUUAACACAACACUGUAAAUCAACGAUAGCUCCAUAAAAUAAGUUAUUAUAAAAUGAAAAAGAUUGGUGAGACAUGCUGGUUUAAGGAAUGAAGGUCCAAAAGCCAGCCUUCUUGUGCAUCUCAUCAGGCCUUGGGCCAAUGGGAUAAAAGAGUAGAAAGCUCUCUAUCCAAGGAAAACCAUGGCUCAAAAAGAUACAUGCACCCCAAUGUUCACAGCAGCGCUAUUCACAAUAGCCAAGACAUGGAAGAAAGCUAAAUGUCCAUUGACAGAGGAGUGGAUAAAGAAGAUGUGGUACAUAUAUACAGUGGACUAUUACUCAGCCAUAAAAAAGGAAUGAAAUAAUAGCAUUUACUACAACAUGGGUGGACCUAGAAAUUAUCAUGCUUAGUGAACUUAGACAGUGAGACACAAACAUCAUAUGCUAUCGCUUAUCUGUGGAAUCUAAAAAAAGGGUACAAUGAACUUUGCAGAACAGAAACUGACUCACAGACUUUGAAAAACUUAUGGUUACCAAAGGAGACAGGUUGGGGGUGGGGAAGGAUGGGCUGGGGAUUUGGGAUGGAAAUACUGUAAAACUGGGUUAUGAUGAUGGUUGUACAAUUAUAAUAAAAUUCAUUGAGUUAAAAAAAAAAUGAGCACAGAGCUCUAAAUGCACAAAGGACCAAGGCUGGAGACACAAGUAUGGAAGGAGGAGAGGGGAGUGGGGGAAGCAGGAAUUGGCCAAAUGGAAGUGUGAGAGACACAGAAAUGGAUGUCUUUUAAAUGAAGUGGAAUGAAAUCAUAUUACUGUCCUGGAAAACUGCUGGGAAGCCAGCUACCAAUGAAAACAAGCAGAGAAGUCCUUGGCUGUUGAAUGGAACUCAAGAAAAGCAUAUGAUGAUAUUUUUGAAUAGCAUAUGCCUUCUGAGUUUACGCUAAACCCUCACAGUUAGUAAUGAGAAAUCUUUCUGAAAUUGGAAAGAAUGUCCCCCAAACAAAAACAAAACAAAAGAAAAGGUUGGUCAAAAUGGUGGUCAUGAAAUGGGCAACUCACUGAUAAUUCUACAUUCUAAAAUAUACUUUUAUUUAUGGGUUGACUUGAUGUCACAGACCCAUGCAAGUAUUUCCACAGCAACCAAUUUCCAUUGGCGCUGGACUCAUAAAGUAUACAUGUAAUUUGCUUUCUGAUGAUUGGCAGAAGAACAUGGAAAAUUGGCAGAAACAGAUGAUGGCUGAUGAUUUCUACAUGGCAGCUCUUCUGCUCUGUGAAGUCACUCGGUGUGAUGAGCUUCACACAUUCCUUAGGCUCAGGGUAAGCAAAGUAUGGCCUUGAAUAUCGAUGGUCAGGAAGGUGGGCCCCAUAUCAGCCACUCUUUAGAGAAAUGCUCUGUGGAGUUCCCGUCGUGGAGCAGUGGUUGGCGAAUCUGACUAGUAACCACGGGGUUGCGGGUUUGAUCCCUGGCCUUGCUCUGUGGGUUGAGGAUCCAGCGAUGCCAUGAGCUGUGGUGUAGGUUGCAGACGCGGCUCGGAUCCUGCGUUGCUGUGGCUGUGGUGUAGGUGGGCAGCUACAGCUCCGAUUGGACCCCUAGCCUGGGAACCUCCAUAUGCCGUGGGAGUGGCCCGAGAAAUGGCAAAAAGACCAAAAAAAAAAAAAAAAAAAAAAAA